rnacentral:pre_miRNA from 1 species
UUACAUGUGUCUUUAAGUAAGGGUAAAUUACGCUUAAAGAAAAAAAGGAAUCCUAGAUAGUUUUCCCUUCAAGUCAAGCGGCUUGU